CACAUUUGCAUGGAUGUUCCCAACCUCUCUCUGAGGAUGACGAGGGGAAGGGAGAGAUCAGGGGAGGUCUGCUCACUUAUGGGAUCACAGAAGACAAGAUCACUGAUGACCUCCACCAUGGCGUGGUCCCCUCUCUUCCUUACCGUCCUUGCUCACUGAACAGGGUCCUGGGCCCAGUCUGUGCUGACUCAGCCAAUUUCUGUGUCCCAGGCCUUGGGCUAGAGGGUCUCAAUCUCCUGCGCUGGAAGCAGCUCCAACAUCUGGGAUGGUUAUGUUGUGAACUGGUACCAACAGCUCCCAGGAACAGCACCCAGGUCCAUCAUCUAUGCUAAUAGCAUUCAACCCUCAGGGGUCCCCCAGCUAUUCUCUGGCUCCAAGCCUGGCAGCUCAGCCACCUGACCAUCACUGGGGCCCAAGCCUAUAUUGAUCCAGCCGCCCUCCAUCUCUGCAUCUCUGGGAGCAACAGCCAGACUCACCUGCAACUUCAGCAGUGACUUCAGUGUUGGCAGCUUCCAAACAUCCUUGUACCAGAAGAAGCCAAGGAGCCCUCCUCAGCAUCUUCUGAGGGUCUACUCAUACUUAAAUAAGCACCAGAGCUUCAGGGUCCCCAGCUGCUUCUCUGGAUCCAAAGAUACCUCAGCCAAUGCAGGGCUUCUGCUCAUAUCUGGGCUGCAGCCUUAAGACAAGGCUGAUGAUUACUGUGCUAAAGGUCAUGGCAGUGGGAGCAGAUACACUUAUCCAUAGUGUCUCAGACAAUGAGGAAAUGAGACAAAAAUCCCUGGGCCCACAGGCCUUGUCUUUGAGUCUAUUUUAUGGAGAAGUUCUUUGGAGGCUCCUGUGGGAAAAAGUCUUCUGUGGGAAGACCUGUCCUUGAGAAGGAAGGAGUGAUACCCAGAUUAUGCUGUUGUCUGAGACAAAGCAGGUAUCUCAGGAGCACACAGGGGUGAGGGAUGGAGGCCAAAAGCACAUGUCCCAGGGUCUUGGGUAAAUUAAAAAAUAUAUAUAUAUGCAUUGACUUUAAGUAUAAAGGGGUUUGGCCACCAGCACCAUGAUCAAACUAACAACAUUUCCAUCACCUGCAGAGAAGCCCUAGACCCACCAGUAGUCAGACCAGUGUUCCCCUGCACUCAGACUCUGUGGCUCCCAAGUCCCUCCUGUCUGUAGUGAGCUCCUACUGUGCACAUUUCGCAGUGACCAAAUCACGAAACAUUUGUAAAUGCUCAAAUCACUGCAUGAGGAGUGUGUGCAUUGUUGUGGGGGCAUCACCACCAUCUGUAAAUAUACAGAUCGCUUC